rnacentral:rRNA from 1 species
GAUGAACGCUGGCGGCGUGCCUAAUACAUGCAAGUCGAGCGAACAGACGAGGAGCUUGCUCCUCUGACGUUAGCGGCGGACGGGUGAGUAACACGUGGAUAACCUACCUAUAAGACUGGGAUAACUUCGGGAAACCGGAGCUAAUACCGGAUAAUAUAUUGUACCGCAUGGUUCAAUAGUGAAAGACGGUUUUGCUGUCACUUAUAGAUGGAUCCGCGCCGCAUUAGCUAGUUGGUAAGGUAACGGCUUACCAAGGCAACGAUGCGUAGCCGACCUGAGAGGGUGAUCGGCCACACCGGAACUGAGACACGGUCCAGACUCCUACGGGAGGCAGCAGUAGGGAAUCUUCCGCCAUGGGCGAAAGCUUGACGGGGCAACGCCGCGUGAGUGAUGAAGGUCUUCGGAUCGUAAAACUCUGUUAUUAGGGAAGAACAAAUGUGUAAGUAACUAUGCACGUCUUGACGGUACCUAAUCAGAAAGCCACGGCUAACUACGUG